rnacentral:snRNA from 1 species
AUACUUACCUGGCAGGGGAGAUGAUCACCAGAGUGGUUUUCCCACAGUGAGGCUUACCCAUCGCACUCUGGAUGCGCUGACCCCUGAGAUUUCCCCAAAUGUGGGAAACUCGACUGCAUAAUUUGUGAUAGUGGGUGACUAUGUUCCCCUG